AGAGUUUGAUCCUGGCUCAGGAUGAACGCUGGCGGCGUGCCUAAUACAUGCAAGUCGAACGAGGUGCUUUUGUAGCAAUACGAGAGUAUCCUAGUGGCGAACGGGUGAGUAACGCGUUGGUGACCUACCCCAAAGUGUGGGAUAACAGUCCGAAAGGAUUGCUAAUACCGCAUGUGGUCAUUGGAUUUAGAAACUGAUGACUAAAGGAGCAAUUCGCUUUGGGAGGGACCUGCGUCCCAUCAGCUAGUUGGUGAGGUAAUGGCUCACCAAGGCGACGACGGGUAGGGGACCUGAGAGGGUGACCCCCCACAAUGGAACUGAAACACGGUCCAUACACCUACGGGUGGCAGCAGUAGGGAAUAUUGCACAAUGGGCGAAAGCCUGAUGCAGCAACGCCGCGUGUGUGAUGAAGGCCUUCGGGUCGUAAAGCACUUUUCUGGGAGAUGAGAAAGGACAGUAUCCCAGGAAUAAGUCUCGGCUAACUACGUGCCAGCCGCCGCGGUAAUAC
rnacentral:rRNA from 1 species